AGAGUUUGAUCCUGGCUCAGGAUGAACGCUAGCGGCAGGCCUAACACAUGCAAGUCGAGGGGCAGCAUAAAUAAAGCUUGCUUUAUUGGUGGCGACCGGCGCACGGGUGAGUAACGCGUAUGCAACCUACCUUGUACUGGGGGAUAGCCCGAAGAAAUUCGGAUUAAUACCCCAUAGUAUUAUCGAAUGGCAUUAUUUGAUGAUUAAAGCUGAGGCGGUAUAAGAUGGGCAUGCGUCCUAUUAGCUAGAUGGUGAGGUAACGGCUCACCAUGGCUACGAUAGGUAGGGGGCCUGAGAGGGUGGUCCCCCACACUGGUACUGAGACACGGACCAGACUCCUACGGGAGGCAGCAGUGAGGAAUAUUGGUCAAUGGUCGCAAGACUGAACCAGCCAUGCCGCGUGAAGGAUGAAGGUUCUAUGGAUUGUGAACUUCUUUUAUUUGGGAAUAAACCUCUUUACGUGUAGAGAGCUGAAGGUACCAAAUGAAUAAGCACCGGCUAACUCCGUGCCAGCAGCCGCGGUAAUAC
rnacentral:rRNA from 1 species